rnacentral:rRNA from 1 species
CCUACGGGAGGCAUCAGUCGGGAAUCUUCCACAAUGGGCGAAAGCCUGAUGGAGCAACGCCGCGUGGGUGAAGAAGGUCUUCGGAUCGUAAAACCCUGUUGUUAGAGAAGAAAGUGCGUGAGAGUAACUGUUCACGUUUCGACGGUAUCUAACCAGAAAGCCACGGCUAACUACGUGCCAGCAGCCGCGGGAAUACGUAGGUGGCAAGCGUUAUCCGGAUUGAUUGGGCGUAAAGGGAACGCAGGCGGUCUUUUAAGUCUGAUGUGAAAGCCUUCGGCUUAACCGGAGUAGUGCAUUGGAAACUGGGAGACUUGAGUGCAGAAGAGGAGAGUGGAACUCCAUGUGUAGCGGUGAAAUGCGUAGAUAUAUGGAAGAACACCAGUGGCGAAGGCGGCUCUCUGGUCUGUAACUGACGCUGAGGUUCGAAAGCGUGGGUAGCAAACAGGAUUAGAUACCCCAGUAGUC